rnacentral:rRNA from 1 species
UACGUAGGGGGGCGAGCGUUGUCCGGAUUUAUUGGGCGUAAAGAGCGUGUAGGCGGCCAGGUAGGUCUGCUGUGAAAACUCGAGGCUCAACCUCGAGACGUCGGCGGAAACCAUCUGGCUAGAGUCCGGAAGAGGAGAGUGGAAUUCCUGGUGUAGCGGUGAAAUGCGUAGAUAUCAGGAGGAACACCGGUGGUGUAGACGGCUUUCUGGACCAUAACUGACGCUGAAACACGAAAGCGUGGGUAGCAAACAGG